rnacentral:rRNA from 1 species
UACGUAGGGUGCGAGCGUUGUCCGGAAUUAUUGGGCGUAAAGAGCUUGUAGGCGGUUUGUCGCGUCUGCUGUGAAAAUCCGGGGCUCAACCCCGGACUUGCAGUGGGUACGGGCAGACUAGAGUGUGGUAGGGGAGACUGGAAUUCCUGGUGUAGCGGUGAAAUGCGCAGAUAUCAGGAGGAACACCGAUGGCGAAGGCAGGUCUCUGGGCCACAACUGACGCUGAGAAGCGAAAGCAUGGGGAGCGAACAGGAUUAGAUACCCG